rnacentral:rRNA from 1 species
AUAGCGGCGUCGAGCGGCGGACGGGUGAGUAAUGCCUAGGAAAUUGCCCUGAUGUGGGGGAUAACCAUUGGAAACGAUGGCUAAUACCGCAUGAUGCCUACGGGCCAAAGAGGGGGACCUUCGGGCCUCUCGCGUCAGGAUAUGCCUAGGUGGGAUUAGCUAGUUGGUGAGGUAAGGGCUCACCAAGGCGACGAUCCCUAGCUGGUCUGAGAGGAUGAUCAGCCACACUGGAACUGAGACACGGUCCAGACUCCUACGGGAGGCAGCAGUGGGGAAUAUUGCACAAUGGGCGCAAGCCUGAUGCAGCCAUGCCGCGUGUGUGAAGAAGGCCUUCGGGUUGUAAAGCACUUUCAGUCGUGAGGAAGGUAGUGUAGUUAAUAGCUGCAUUAUUUGACGUUAGCGACAGAAGAAGCACCGGCUAACUCCGUGCCAGCAGCCGCGGUAAUACGGAGGGUGCGAGCGUUAAUCGGAAUUACUGGGCGUAAAGCGCAUGCAGGUGGUUUGUUAAGUCAGAUGUGAAAGCCCGGGGCUCAACCUCGGAAUUGCAUUUGAAACUGGCAGACUAGAGUACUGUAGAGGGGGGUAGAAUUUCAGGUGUAGCGGUGAAAUGCGUAGAGAUCUGAAGGAAUACCGGUGGCGAAGGCGGCCCCCUGGACAGAUACUGACACUCAGAUGCGAAAGCGUGGGGAGCAAACAGGAUUAGAUACCCUGGUAGUCCACGCCGUAAACGAUGUCUACUUGGAGGUUGUGGCCUUGAGCCGUGGCUUUCGGAGCUAACGCGUUAAGUAGACCGCCUGGGGAGUACGGUCGCAAGAUUAAAACUCAAAUGAAUUGACGGGGGCCCGCACAAGCGGUGGAGCAUGUGGUUUAAUUCGAUGCAACGCGAAGAACCUUACCUACUCUUGACAUCCAGAGAACUUUCCAGAGAUGGAUUGGUGCCUUCGGGAACUCUGAGACAGGUGCUGCAUGGCUGUCGUCAGCUCGUGUUGUGAAAUGUUGGGUUAAGUCCCGCAACGAGCGCAACCCUUAUCCUUGUUUGCCAGCGAGUAAUGUCGGGAACUCCAGGGAGACUGCCGGUGAUAAACCGGAGGAAGGUGGGGACGACGUCAAGUCAUCAUGGCCCUUACGAGUAGGGCUACACACGUGCUACAAUGGCGCAUACAGAGGGCAGCCAACUUGCGAAAGUGAGCGAAUCCCAAAAAGUGCGUCGUAGUCCGGAUUGGAGUCUGCAACUCGACUCCAUGAAGUCGGAAUCGCUAGUAAUCGUGGAUCAGAAUGCCACGGUGAAUACGUUCCCGGGCCUUGUACACACCGCCCGUCACACCAUGGGAGUGGGCUGCAAAAGAAGUAGGUAGUUUAACCUUCGGGGGGACGCUUACCACUUUGUGGUUCAUGACUGGGGUGAAGUCGUAACAAGGUAGCGCUAGGGGAACCUGGCGCUG